rnacentral:rRNA from 1 species
CACAAGCAGCGGAGCGUGUGGUUUAAUUCGAUGCUACACGAAGAACCUUACCAGGUUUGACAUACAAGUAGUAGGGAAGGAACUGGACCGACCCUUCGGGGAGCUUGUACAGGUGCUGCAUGGCUGUCGUCAGCUCGUGUCGUGAGAUGUUCGGUUAAGUCCGCUAACGAGCGCAACCCUCGUCGUAUGUUAUAUGUGUCAUACGAGACUGCCGGUAAAAAGCCGGAGGAAGGUGAGGAUGAUGUCAAGUCAGCAUGACCUUUAUAUCCAGGGCUACACACACGCUACAAUGGUCUGUACAAUGGGUAGCCAAGCCGCGAGGCGGAGCCAAUCCUGAAAGCAGGCCUCAGUUCAGAUUGUAGGCUGCAACUCGCCUGCAUGAAGUUGGAGUUGCUAGUAACCGCGCGUCAGCUAUAGUGCGGUGAAUACGUUCCCGGGGCUU